rnacentral:rRNA from 1 species
CGGGGGGAGCAAGCGUUGUUCGGAUUUACUGGGCGUAAAGGGCGCGUAGGCGGCCACCGCAAGUCGACUGUGAAAUCUCCGGGCUUAACCGGGAACGGUCAGCCGAUACUGCGGGGCUAGAGUGCAGAAGGGGCAACUGGAAUUCUCGGUGUAGCGGUGAAAUGCGUAGAUAUCGAGAGGAACACCUGCGGCGAAGGCGGGUUGCUGGGCUGACACUGACGCUGAGGCGCGAAAGCUAGGGGAGCGAACGGGAUUAGAUACCCCGGUAGUCCUAGCCUUAAACGAUGAAUGCUUGGUGUCUGGGGUUUUAUAGUCCCCGGGUGCCGUCGCUAACGCUUUAAGCAUUCCGCCUGGGGAGUACGGUCGCAAGACUG